rnacentral:rRNA from 1 species
AUGGCGAGCCACCCAUUGGCCACCGCCUCAGCCAGGGCGACCCCGACCUCGACCUCCAGGCCGUCGUGCGCGGCUCCCAGCACCGGCAAGCUCACCUGCCUCUGCUCGCCGACCAACCACCCGGGCUCCUUCCGCUGCACUCGCCACCGCAACCCACGGGGGCGACCGCAGACGUCGUCGCCGUCGUCGUCCGGCCGCGCGUCGCAGCAGCCUGCUGCACCGGGAGCCAGCGCGACGGUGCGCGUCGAGGGGAUCAUCAGGAGCGGCGGCGUCGGCGCUGGCCCCGUUGGCAGGACCACCAAGGGCCGGUCCGUCCUGCGCGCGCACCUGCUGCGGCUGGUGAGCGCGCCGUCCUCUGCCGGCCGGGACCACCGCCGCUGCCGCGACUUCAAGCCCCGACCGUCCAGGCUGGGCCGACUCGCGGUGACCGCGUGA